GUUUAGAGUUGGUCAGGCUGCUCAGUAUCUUCAAUUCUAUGAGUCAUGGGUAUGAACUGUUUCUCUGAGAAAACAGCAUGCAGCCCACCAGAGGCUUUA
rnacentral:lncRNA from 1 species